UUUUCUUGUUAGUUUUUGAAGUAUGGCCUGCCCACUGAUUGAAGGGCCGCGGUAUUUUGACCGUGCAAAGGUAGCAUAAUCAUUAGUUCUUUAAUUGUGAUCUGGUAUGAAUGGCUUGACGAGGCAUGGGCUGUCUUUUUGAAUUUGGUAUCUGAGUUAAAAUUCUUAGAUGUUUUUAUGGGACGAGAAGACCCUAUAGAGUUUGACAUUUUUUUUUGUUUGUUUUUAAUGUUUUAUUUGUUUUGUUGGGGUGAUGGGAGGAAUUUUCUUAACUCCUCUUUCUUGUUACAUUAUGUAUUUUAUUUUGAUCCAUUUAUUUUGAUUAUAAGAUUAAAUUACCUUAGGGAUAACAGCGUUAUCCUCCUUGAGAGUUCUUAUUGGCGGGGGGGUUUGCGACCUCGAUGUUGGAUUAAGGUUAAUUUUUGGUGUAGGAGCUGAAUCGAUUAGGUCUGUUCGACCUUUAAAACCUU
rnacentral:rRNA from 1 species